GUGCUUGCUGAGCGGCACAGAUAAUAAAACCUGGAACGAUGCAGAGAUUAGCACGUCUCCUGCUCAAAGAUGACACGCAGAGUCACGAAGCAUUAAAAAAAAAU